rnacentral:rRNA from 1 species
GAAAGCUUGCUUCUUGCUGGCGACCGGCGCACGGGUGAGUAACGCGUAUCCAACCUUCCCCCCAGUAGGGCAUAGCCCGGCGAAAGUCGGAUUAAUACCCUAUGUUGUGUCAUGAGGACAUCUGAAUAACACCAAAGAUUUAUCGCUGGGGGAUGGGGAUGCGUCCGAUUAGGUUGUUGGCGGGUAACGGCCCACCAAGCCCGCGAUCGGUAGGGGUUCUGAGAGGAAGGUCCCCCACACUGGUACUGAGACACGGACCAGACUCCUACGGGAGGCAGCAGUGAGGAAUAUUGGUCAAUGGGCGUAAGCCUGAACCAGCCAAGUAAGCGUGCAGGAUGACGGCCCUAUGGGUUGUAAACUGCUUUUAUGCGGGGAUAAAGUGACGUACGUGUACGUUUUUGUAGGUACCGCAUGAAUAAGGACCGGCUAAUUCCGUGCCAGCCGCCGC